AGGUGAGGCUGCUGGGAGGUGGUGCGUGCCCUCUGAAGUGGGUUAGAGCCUCCUGUGAGACCCUGGAGAAAAGGUGCCAUCUAGGAGAAGGGUCCCUAACCUGACACUGUCUCCAAGAGCCUGGAUCCUGGACUCCCAGCCUCCAAAGCUCCGAGGAGUGAGACCCUGCUGACUGGAGGGACAAGAAUAGAAGCAGAGGAGACACCAUGGUGGCCUUAAGCAGGUGUUGGCAGUGGUCACAGCAAGGAUGGCAAGAAGUGUUCAGACCUGAAAUAUACUUUGGAGACAGAGGCUAGAGGCCUGGAGGCACAGCUGUACUCAGUGGAGCAAGACUGUUCAUCCUUCCAGGAGGUCACCUGAAGCUCAGCCAGGAUGGCAUGCUCUGCCCUGCAAACUCCGCAGAAGGAGCCCAUCUCUGGCCCCGCUCCUGUGACUAUGAGGAGUCUCCGCUGCCAGGCUUCCACCCUAAAAAGCAGCAUUGAUGACACAGACACCGGGGACCCUGGAACCAGGAGGGCAGAGGCUGCUGAGCCAACUGUGUCACUGGGGCCCUGAAUGUGUGGGGUUGAGCUUGACAGGCCAGGUCCCCACGCACGUAAUGAGAUGGUAGGAGAGCUGAGGAGUGGCGCACCCCCUCCCAGCAGGGAAGACACAGCCUGAACCCCGAGAUGCAGACAGGGAGGGGCCGCCUAGGGGAGGCCACGGCCCAGUGGGUUUCCUGCGAUGGUGCCCUUCUCCUGUCCUUCAUUCAGACUGCACACGUUAUCUUACUGUAAUAAAUACAUCCUGUCUGGCAACACAACCUGGAUUACCUACUGAAGAAGCCAAUGAAAAAUGGCCAGGAUCUUUCUAGGGUUUCCCCUUCUGCAUAGCACAAGAUUCAUCAGCCCCUCUCACGACUGUGUGGCCAAAGGCAAGUCCGACUGCACUGGUGUGAACCCUG